ACGCUCGACACCUACUGGAGGCAGCAGUGAGGAAUAUUGGUCAAUGGGCGCAGGCCUGAACCAGCCAAGUAGCGUGAAGGAUGACUGCCCUAUGGGUUGUAAACUUCUUUUAUAUGGGAAUAAAGUUUUCCACGUGUGGAAUUUUGUAUGUACCAGAUGAAUAAGGAUCGGCUAACUCCGUGUCAGCAGCCGCGGUAAUCUGAGCGGGCUGGCAAGGC
rnacentral:rRNA from 1 species